UUCUUAUAAAGAGAGAUGGAAGGACUGGCCUAAUGAAAUCUCGGCAGCGGAACAUCAGUUACCGUGCUAAAUCCAGCAAGCAAUAGCUUGGCAGAUAAGAA
rnacentral:ncRNA from 3 species